rnacentral:misc_RNA from 1 species
GAAAUGCGAUAAGUAGUGUGAAUUGCAGAAUUCAGUGAAUCAUCGAAUCUUUGAACGCACAUUGCGCCCCUUGGUAUUCCAUGGGGCAUGCCUGUUCGAGCGUCAUUUGUACUCUCAAGCUCUGCUUGGUGUUGGGUGUUUGUCCCGUCUCCGCGCGUGGACUCGCCCCAAAGUGAUUGGCAGCCGGCGUACUGGUCCCGGAGCGCAGCACAUGUCGCGCAAACGAGUGCCUUGGUACGGCGGCGUCCAUAAGCCCCUCUCUCACGCUCUUGACCUCGGAUCAGGUAGGGAUACCCGCUGAACUUAAGC